GACGAACGCUGGCGGCGUGCUUAACACAUGCAAGUCGAGCGGUAAGGCCCUUUCGGGGGUACACGAGCGGCGAACGGGUGAGUAACACGUGGGUGACCUGCCCUCAGCUCUGGGAUAAGCCUGGGAAACCGGGUCUAAUACUGGAUAUGACUCCAUGACGCAUGUUGGUGGGGUGGAAAGCCUUGUGCGGCUGAGGAUGGGCCCGCGGCCUAUCAGCUUGUUGGUGGGGUGANGGCCUACCAAGGCGACGACGGGUAGCCGGCCUGAGAGGCGACCGGCCACACUGGGACUGAGACACGGCCCAGACUCCUACGGGAGGCAGCAGGUGGGGAAUCUUGCGCAAUGGGCGAAAGCCUGACGCAGCGACGCCGCGUGAGGGAUGACGG
rnacentral:rRNA from 1 species